rnacentral:rRNA from 1 species
AAUAUUGCACAAUGGGGGAAACCCUGAUGCAGCGACGCCGCGUGAGUGAAGAAGCAUUUCGGUGCGUAAAGCUCUAUCAGCAGGGAAGAAAAUGACGGUACCUGACUAAGAAGCCCCGGCUAACUACGUGCCAGCAGCCGCGGUAAUACGUAGGGGGCAAGCGUUAUCCGGAUUUACUGGGUGUAAAGGGAGCGCAGACGGUAUGGCAAGUCUGAAGUGAAAUGUCGGGGCUCAACCCCGAAACUGCUUUGGAAACUGUCAAACUCGAGUGUCGGAGGGGUAAGCGGAAUUCCUAGUGUAGCGGUGAAAUGCGUAGAUAUUAGGAGGAACACCGGCGGCGAAGGCGGCUUACUGGACGAUAACUGACGUUGAGGCUCGAAAGCGUGGGGAGCAAACAGG